UUUAAGGCGAUCGGUAGAAGCAACGUAAAGCAGGGUUAUGCUAAUGCAUGACAUUUACCUUAUUAACUAUAAACACAACUUACUAAUAUGUAGACAUCUUGUCAUAGUCUCAAUGCUGGUGCAUGGCUUUCCUGUAGAUUUGUUUGUGUUAUACACCUGAGUCUCUGCAGAUCUGACGAAGAGGAUGAGGUGGACAGAGACGCCGGCAGGGAGUCGACCGGGCCGAGCGGCAGACAAGGCACACCGGCAGAGAGCACAUCGUAGCCCCGACUCGGGCCAACUCGCGCUUCCCAGUGACAUCAGACACACAGAGGCGAACAAUUCUUGUUCAUGGCAUGGACAGACGCACAAAAGAUAUAUAAUAUAAUAUAAUAUAUAUAUAUAUAUAUAUAUAUAUAUUAUUAUAUUAUAUAUUAUAUAAUAUAUAUAUAUAUAUAUAUAUAUUCCUAUUACACUUAAACUUCUUAUUACACUUAAUCACAUAACAAAGUGAUGCUGCCUCCAUGUGCUGUUGUGUCAUUUAACACCGCAUAUUGAAUAAGUUAGUUCAUACGGAGCAGGGAAGUUCUAUCAGAAGAAUGUCCUGCUCUACUUAAUUUAUAAGAGUAGCUUUUCAGGCAAAUAUGUGCCCUCUUCUGCACUAUCCCGACUUUUCAGAUAGCUUGGCAAAGAGGAUUUAGAUAAGCCCGCUCUGGCUUCGCUCCUCCAACAAGGUCUGACUGGCCAUCAACAUCCCCCCCUCCUCACACCCCCAUCAUUGUGGACUGCAGCACUUGGGAGAAGUUGGCCCCUUUUUUCAGUUAAAUCUCUUGGUCGGUCUAUAAUUAGGGGAGGCUCGGUCAUGAUUGCUGUCAUCAAAGUGCGAUCAUUUUUAGGAAUUACAUUUCUAUUCGAGCCAAGCUGUUAGAUGUGAUGCAUAUGUUUGAAAAUGAUUUUAAUGUGUAUUUAUAUGGUAUACAUAGAUAUAUAAUAUAAUUUAUGCGGAAUAUGAAGAAGAUACAAAUUAAGAUUGUUUUAAACCUCGUGACUGAAACACUAUUAAAAUAAGGCUUAUGUCAUAUUUCAUGCCACAAUAAUUUUGUUCUUUUUGAGGCUUUUCUGCGCUUUUGUCUGCUUGUGUUGGAUUUCUCAAGUUCAAAGGGAAUGUGUUUGUUUGCUAUUUUAAAUUAGCUUUCCUUAGAGCUGUCGAGACCAUGCACAUUUACAGAUGCAUUUUCUUUUCUCAGAAUGCACAAACUCUGGACCUCAUAUCAUAAAUUAAAGCUCCUUUUAAUGUCAAAUACAAUAACAGAAUAAUUUCAGAAGGAUGAUUUAUUUUAAAGGUUCAUUUGCUUGUUUCUCUUACAUGGUUGCAAUAUUGGCUCAAGCAGUACAAUAAUAAUACCCUUUUCAGGACAAAAUGGUUCUUUAAAUUGUAAGUUGCCAAACACAUUUUUUUUUAAACUGGUAAUUUCUGCAUUUGAGAAAAUUUGGGUUAUUGGAGGUUCUGUUCAUGAUCAUGAAUAAGUAGCUCUCAUGUUGUUAUUGAGCUAUUCCCAGACUGUUUUGGCCGGGUCGUCCACGUCAGACUAUUCAUUUAUUUGUACUCGAUUAGUCUACUCAGUAUUAGAAAACUGCCAAAAGCUCUGUUAAUUCAAAGCCUGUCUGCUCUUAUAUUUAGAGAUAUUUUUUAUUUUUAGCUUUCCACCCAUGAACCUCGUUGGUAUUCUCUAUUUUUGGCCUCGCAGAUGAUUCUGAGCUUGUGAAUUUAAAACUGUUUUCAACUCGCAUGUAGGUAGAUUAAAAUGAGAAAGCAUAUACAGAAUAUGUGCAUGUCUGCCUGUGUGCAAAAGAAAAGCGUGUCUGACUUCACAUUUACAUAUCUUCUCAGAAAAGGCUAAUCUGCAUUUCUUGUCUUAUUUUCUCCUUUUUUUUUGCUUCACAUGAAUAUUAAUGUGGAGCACAGGAAACUUUGAUGUCAGUGAUUUAAAAUAGACUUGUUAACUGGAAAAAACUAAAACGCUUUGAGUUGCAUUGCCUCAAAGUUGGAGUUGCUGAUCAUGUAAGUUGAAUAAGUUUGUACACUUUGUACACAAAAGGCUUGCCUAUUUUGGUUAUUCAACGGAUCCGUCAUGAUGUGAGUGUAGGUUUUUUAAAUAAUAAAUGUGUCUGUUUGUUUCCAGAAUCAGUGUUUGCUCACUGUAAUUGCGUAGAGGUGUGGUUUGGAUGAGGUCUGUUUCAAAUUCACCGAAGUGAGAGAAAAGGAGGUUAGAAAGGAGGCAGGAUGUUUUUAGCAAAACAAGCCAUUGAUGUGUUUGAUUAAUUUUAGCUCACCCACCCCAGAGUAACUUC
ensembl:lncRNA